rnacentral:rRNA from 1 species
GACGAACGCUGGAGGCGUGCUUAACACAUGCAAGUCGAACGAUGAAAUGGAGCUUGCUCCAUGGAUUAGUGGCGAACGGGUGAGUAACACGUGAAUAACCUGCCCUUAAUUUUGGAAUAACCCAGGGAAACCUGGGCUAAUACCGGAUAAGUAAACCUGUGGCAUCACAUGGUUUUGGAAAGUUUUUCGAUUAAGGAUGGAUUCGCGGCCUAUCAGCUAGUUGGUGAGGUAAUGGCUCACCAAGGCGACGACGGGUAGCCGGCCUGAGAGGGUGAACGGCCACACUGGGACUGAGACACGGCCCAGACUCCUACGGGAGGCAGCAGUGGGGAAUAUUGCGCAAUGGACGAAAGUCUGACGCAGCGACGCCUCGUGAGGGACGAAGGUCUUCGGAUUGUAAACCUCUUUCAGCAGGGACGAAGCGAAAGUGACGGUACCUGCAGAAGAAGCACCGGCUAACUAUGUGCCAGCAGCCGCGGUAA